rnacentral:rRNA from 1 species
GGAGCUUGCUCCACCGGAAAAAGAAGAGUGGCGAACGGGUGAGUAACACGUGGGUAACCUGCCCAUCAGAAGGGGAUAACACUUGGAAACAGGUGCUAAUACCGUAUAACAAUCAAAACCGCAUGGUUUUGAUUUGAAAGGCGCUUUCGGGUGUCGCUGAUGGAUGGACCCGCGGUGCAUUAGCUAGUUGGUGAGGUAACGGCUCACCAAGGCCACGAUGCAUAGCCGACCUGAGAGGGUGAUCGGCCACAUUGGGACUGAGACACGGCCCAAACUCCUACGGGAGGCAGCAGUAGGGAAUCUUCGGCAAUGGACGAAAGUCUGACCGAGCAACGCCGCGUGAGUGAAGAAGGUUUUCGGAUCGUAAAACUCUGUUGUUAGAGAAGAACAAGGAUGAGAGUAACUGUUCAUCCCUUGACGGUAUCUAACCAGAAAGCCACGGCUAACUACGUGCCAGCAGCCGCGGUAAUACGUAGGUGGCAAGCGUUGUCCGGAUUUAUUGGGCGUAAAGCGAGCGCAGGCGGUUUCUUAAGUCUGAUGUGAAAGCCCCCGGCUCAACCGGGGAGGGUCAUUGGAAACUGGGAGACUUGAGUGCAGAAGAGGAGAGUGGAAUUCCAUGUGUAGCGGUGAAAUGCGUAGAUAUAUGGAGGAACACCAGUGGCGAAGGCGGCUCUCUGGUCUGUAACUGACGCUGAGGCUCGAAAGCGUGGGGAGCAAACAGGAUUAGAUACCCUGGUAGUCCACGCCGUAAACGAUGAGUGCUAAGUGUUGGAGGGUUUCCGCCCUUCAGUGCUGCAGCUAACGCAUUAAGCACUCCGCCUGGGGAGUACGACCGCAAGGUUGAAACUCAAAGGAAUUGACGGGGGCCCGCACAAGCGGUGGAGCAUGUGGUUUAAUUCGAAGCAACGCGAAGAACCUUACCAGGUCUUGACAUCCUUUGACCACUCUAGAGAUAGAGCUUCCCCUUCGGGGGCAAAGUGACAGGUGGUGCAUGGUUGUCGUCAGCUCGUGUCGUGAGAUGUUGGGUUAAGUCCCGCAACGAGCGCAACCCUUAUUGUUAGUUGCCAUCAUUCAGUUGGGCACUCUAGCAAGACUGCCGGUGACAAACCGGAGGAAGGUGGGGAUGACGUCAAAUCAUCAUGCCCCUUAU